GUCUAGUUCCUGUGUUAAAGGUGUGCUCAGGACAGUGUGUCCCACAUGAACGCUUGCCAUGGAUAGCCCGGCCACCCUAGGACAGCCUGCCUGCAUGGAGAAAGAGGGUCAGUGUCACAGGGCCUCCCUGUAAAGAGAGGUGGCAGGUUGUCUCAUAAGACUGUGUGAGCUCUUUCAUCUCAACUCUGUCCAUCACCGUGGGAACAGGAUGGCUGGGCCAGGCCCGGUUCCUAAGGUGAUGCAGAGAGACAAGACGAGCAGAGCCUCCCAGCCUCUGGUGGAUUCUUGAUGCCUGUGUCUCCUCCUCACUGCUGAGAUAACACCUAUGUGACUAGGGUGUACGGCGGUUUCACCUGAAGGAAGAAAGAUGGUUAAGAAUCAUCUCAGAAUUGACAAUCAUAGAGGCUCUGACUGAGGUUUCUGUAGACCACCCAGGACAGCUGGGUGGAGCUGGCCCACAUGAAGUCCCCACCGAGGGAAUAGACCCACGCUUCCCUACCUCAAGGAUUGCAGAGAACCUAAGUGGUGUUCUUCAUGAGAAUCUGCAAUGUCUUCAACCAGGGUUGCAAACUAGAACCCAAGAGCCAAACCCUGACCACCGCCUAUUUGUAAAUAAAAUUGAAAUGGAACAUAGUCACACCCAUUUCUGUGUUAUCUGUCUUCUUUGUACUAUGAUGACAAAGUUAAAGAAGUUUUAACAAAGAUGAAGUCAUAAAUCCUAGAUUGUUUAUUAUUUGGUUCUGUGAAUUAAAAGUUUGACAACCCUUUUUUAAACUAUGACCAUUCUACUCUAACACAUGUGUUUAAAUGUUUGCAGAAAAACUAAACUUUGACCACUGUCCACACUAUAUUUUUAAGAGUAUUUAGAAAACUAGCGAAUCCCUCUUUUGUGCAUUUCUGUCCUUGAAAUACAUUGUCAAGUACAAUUUUAACUCUUUACCUGAAGCACUAGUUUUUGAAGUAUCAGUUGAUAUUUUUUGUAAAGCAAUCUCUAAAAUAAUA